rnacentral:rRNA from 1 species
AACGAACGCUGGCGGCGUGCUUAACGCAUGCAAGUCGAACGGUAAGGCCCUUCGGGGUACACGAGUGGCGAACGGGUGAGUAACACGUGGGUGAUCUGCCCUGCACUUCGGGAUAAGCCUGGGAAACUGGGUCUAAUACCGGAUAGGACCCUGGGAUGCAUGUCCUGGGGUGGAAAGCUUUUGCGGUGUGGGAUGGGCCCGCGGCCUAUCAGCUUGUUGGUGGGGUGAUGGCCUACCAAGGCGACGACGGGUAGCCGGCCUGAGAGGGUGACCGGCCACACUGGGACUGAGAUACGGCCCAGACUCCUACGGGAGGCAGCAGUGGGGAAUAUUGCACAAUGGGCGCAAGCCUGAUGCAGCGACGCCGCGUGAGGGAUGACGGCCUUCGGGUUGUAAACCCCUUUCAGCACCGACGAAGCGCAAGUGACGGUAGGUGCAGAAGAAGGACCGGCCAACUACGUGCCAGCAGCCGCGGUAA